rnacentral:rRNA from 1 species
UACAGAGGUCCCAAGCGUUGUUCGGAUUCACUGGGCGUAAAGGGUGCGCAGGUGGUCGGGUAAGUCUGAUGUUGAAAUCCCGCAGCUUAACUGCGGAAUGGCAUUGGAUACUAUUCGGCUAGAGGGUUGGAGGGGGGACUUGGAAUUCUCGGUGUAGCAGUGAAAUGCGUAGAUAUCGAGAGGAACACCAGUGGCGAAGGCGAGUCCCUGGACAACUCCUGACGCUGAGGCAACGAAAGACUAGGGGAGCAAACAGG